UACAGGGGGUGCAAACGUUGCUCGGAAUUAUUGGGCGUAAAGCGCGCGUAGGCGGCUACUUAAGUCGGAUGUGAAAGCCCUUGGCUCAACUGAGGAAGUGCACCCGAAACUGAGUGGCUUGAGUACGAAAGAGGGUCGCGGAAUUCCCGGUGUAGAGGUGAAAUUCGUAGAUAUCGGGAGGAACACCGGUGGCGAAGGCAGGUCUCUGGGCAUUAACUGACGCUGAGGAGCGAAAGCAUGGGGAGCGAACAGG
rnacentral:rRNA from 1 species